UAAUAAGGUCACUUUGAAAUAAGAGAAAGUAACAUGCUUGAAAUUUCAAGACACCUUGGAAUUACAGGACUAGAUUUUCUAGAUUACAGGAGUUCCUGGGACAAUUAAAUAUUUUUUUUGUGUGUGUGUGUAUUAUGGAUAGAUCAGUUGGUAGGUCUGAGUAUGAGGUUAGUAUACAGUGGGAAAGUGACUUUUCUUUUCAUGUUACUCUGUGGAAAAUUUUUACUGUUCCAUGAACCCAACCAUAAUUGUGGCAUUUGGCAUGUUGUUGCAACAGCAUUGCUAUUAAUUCUUGGGAAUUGUGUGUAACUGAGAUAGUGAUGGUUACAGUUCAAGUUAGCUGGUGUUGACAUCAUCUCUGGGUGAGGAGAAAGAUCUUUUCAGGUCUAGGAUCAAAGCUUCUUCUUUGAUUUGUAAGGCCAAAGUCAUGGUUCUCACGACCAUCCGAUUCUGUUAAGUUUUGUUUUGUGGUCACACACUGGAUACUUAAAUCCCUGCCUUAAAAUUAGGUAUUCUUGGUGUGAGAACGUGGAGUGAGGUGUGAGGUGUGUGUGGGUCAGCAUACAUGGGGGAUAUUUAUUGGAUGUCUGUGGAUGUCCUACUGAUGGUCUUAUCUGUAACAACAGCCCAAAGAUGAAGAUCCCUCCCCCUUUAA
rnacentral:lncRNA from 1 species